rnacentral:misc_RNA from 1 species
GCAAACUUGGUCAUUUAGAGGAAGUAAAAGUCGUAACAAGGUUUCCGUAGGUGAACCUGCGGAAGGAUCAUUAAAGAGAAUAUGCCCUUCGGGGUAGAUCUCCCACCCAUUGCAUUAAUACCUCGUUGCUUUGGCAGGCCCGUCUUCCGACCACCGGCUUUGGCUGGUCCGUGUCUGCCAGAGGAUUGAAAAUUCAAUCUUUUCUGUUUUCCGAGUUCAUAUUUAAAUCGUUAAAACUUUCAACAACGGAUCUCUUGGUUCUGGCAUCGAUGAAGAACGCAGC